rnacentral:ncRNA from 1 species
CAAAAGCUUGGUCCCGACUUUAGUAUCAGCUUUAGCCUAAUUUACACAUGCAAGUCUCCGCACCCCUGUGAGAAUGCCCUUAAUCUCCCGCCCGGAGAUGAGGAGCCGGCAUCAGGCACACUUGUUGGCCCAAGACGCCUUGCUACGCCACACCCCCAAGGGAACCCAGCAGUGAUAAACAUUAAGCCAUAAGUGAAAGCUUGACUUAGUGAGGGCUAUGAGGGCCGGUAAAACUCGUGCCAGCCACCGCGGUUAUACGAGCGGCCCCAGUUGAUAAACACGGCGUAAAGAGUGGUUAGGGACUAUACCGAACUAAAGUCGAAAGCCCCCUAGGCCGUUAUACGCACCUGGGGGUACUAAGCCCCAUCACGAAAGUAGCUUUAUUCAAGCCUACCCGACCCCACGACAGCUGAGACACAAACUGGGAUUAGAUACCCCACUAUGCUUAGCCAUAAACUUCGAUGUCCUGUCACAUCCGCCAGGGAACUACGAGCACAGCUUGAAACCCAAAGGACUUGGCGGUGCCUCAGACCCCCCUAGAGGAGCCUGUUCUAGAACCGAUAACCCCCGUUAAACCUCACCACCCCUUGUUAAACCCGCCUAUAUACCGCCGUCGUCAGCUCACCCUGUGAAGGCCCCAUAGUGAGCAAAAUGGGCAAAACCCAGAACGUCAGGCCGAGGUGUAGCGUACGAGGUGGGAAGAAAUUGGCUACAUUUUCUGACCCAGAAUAUUACGGACGGCACCAUGAAACGGGUGCCCGAAGGUGAAUUUAGCAGUAAAAAGAAAAUAGAGAGUUCUUUUGAACCCGGCUCUGAGGCGCGCACACACCGCCCGUCACUCUCCCCGAACCCCCGACCUAAAGUAAAUAACAAAAUUGACUAACCAAGGGGAGGCAAGUCGUAACAUGGUAAGUGUACCGGAAGGUGCACUUGGGAUAU